UAGGGGGCAAGCGUUGUCCGGAAUGAUUGGGCGUAAAGGGCGCGUAGGCGGCCCGGUAAGUCUGGAGUGAAAGUCCUGGCUUUAAGUUGGGAAUUGCUUUGGAUACUGUCGGGCUUGAGUGCAGGAGAGGUUAGUGGAAUUCCCAGUGUAGCGGUGAAAUGCGUAGAGAUUGGGAGGAACACCAGUGGCGAAGGCGACUAACUGGACUGUAACUGACGCUGAGGCGCGAAAGUGUGGGGAGCAAA
rnacentral:rRNA from 1 species